CGGCCGCAGUACUCUGACUGUGCAAAGGUAGCAUAAUCAAUUGACUUUUAAUUGGAGUCUAGUAUGAAUGGAUUUACGUAAAAGUUCUGUCUCAAUUAAAAUUUUCUAAAAUUUUUUAGAAGGUGAAAAAACUUUCAGUAUUUAAAAGACGAGAAGACCCUAAGAAUUUUAAAAAAAUUAGUCUAUCUUUUUUGCUGGGGCGGCAGUGGAUCAAGGAACAUCCAUAUUAUCGAGUUUUCGUGUUUUAAAUUACCUUAGGGAUAACAGCACAAUUGUUACCUCGAUGUUGGACUAGGAA
rnacentral:rRNA from 1 species